AUUCAGCUAGCUUUGAGACAGAAGAAAGUCACUAUUUAUCUCCAGAGACGCACACUGACCUUACAAAGCAUCCAUGAAUAAAACUAAAAGAAGACAAGGAAUAUAACUACUUUAACUGAAAGAAGAAGGCAAACCGUUCCUGGAGGUAGUUUAGUAUCUCAAUAAUUAAACAACAUCGGUCUAAUUAAAAACAACACAAAGAGGAACUCCAUGAUCCAGUUUUGGAUGAGUAAGG
rnacentral:lncRNA from 1 species